rnacentral:rRNA from 1 species
GACGUAGGGCGCGAGCGUUGUCCGGAUUUAUUGGGCGUAAAGAGCUCGUAGGCGGCUUGUCGCGUCGACCGUGAAAACUUGGGGCUCAACCCCAAGCCUGCGGUCGAUACGGGCAGGCUCGAGUUCGGUAGGGGAGACUGGAAUUCCUGGUGUAGCGGUGAAAUGCGCAGAUAUCAGGAGGAACACCGAUGGCGAAGGCAGGUCCCUGGGCCGAUACUGACGCUGAGGAGCGAAAGCGUGGGGAGCGAACAGG